rnacentral:rRNA from 1 species
GACGAACGCUGGCGGCGUGCUUAACACAUGCAAGUCGAACGGAAAGGCCCUGCUUUUGUGGGGUGCUCGAGUGGCGCACGCGUGAGUAACACGUGAGUAACCUGCCCUUGACUUUGGGAUAACUUCAGGAAACUGGGGCUCAUACCGGAUAGGAGCUCCUGCUGCAUGGUGGUGGUUGGAAAGUUUCGGCGGUUGGGGAUGGACUCGAGGGUUCUCCGCUUGUUGGUGGGGUAGUGGCUUACAAAGGCUUUGACGGGUAGCCGGCCUGGGCGGGUGACCGGCCACAAUAGGACUGAGGGAGGGCCCAGACUCCAACGGGAGGCAGCAGUGGAGAAUAUUGCACAAUGGGCGGAAGCCUGAUGCAGCAACGCCGCGUGCGGGAUGACGGGCUUCGGGUUGUAAACCGCUUUCGCCUGUGACGAAGCGUGAGUGACGGUAAUGGGUAAAGAAGCACCGGCUAACUACGUG